rnacentral:rRNA from 3 species
AGAGUUUGAUCAUGGCUCAGAUUGAACGCUGGCGGCAGGCCUAACACAUGCAAGUCGAGCGGUAGCACAGAGAGCUUGCUCUCGGGUGACGAGCGGCGGACGGGUGAGUAAUGUCUGGGAAACUGCCUGAUGGAGGGGGAUAACUACUGGAAACGGUAGCUAAUACCGCAUAAUGUCGCAAGACCAAAGUGGGGGACCUUCGGGCCUCAUGCCAUCAGAUGUGCCCAGAUGGGAUUAGCUAGUAGGUGGGGUAACGGCUCACCUAGGCGACGAUCCCUAGCUGGUCUGAGAGGAUGACCAGCCACACUGGAACUGAGACACGGUCCAGACUCCUACGGGAGGCAGCAGUGGGGAAUAUUGCACAAUGGGCGCAAGCCUGAUGCAGCCAUGCCGCGUGUGUGAAGAAGGCCUUCGGGUUGUAAAGCACUUUCAGCGGGGAGGAAGGCGGUGAGGUUAAUAACCUCACCGAUUGACGUUACCCGCAGAAGAAGCACCGGCUAACUCCGUGCCAGCAGCCGCGGUAAUACGGAGGGUGCAAGCGUUAAUCGGAAUUACUGGGCGUAAAGCGCACGCAGGCGGUCUGUCAAGUCGGAUGUGAAAUCCCCGGGCUCAACCUGGGAACUGCAUUCGAAACUGGCAGGCUAGAGUCUUGUAGAGGGGGGUAGAAUUCCAGGUGUAGCGGUGAAAUGCGUAGAGAUCUGGAGGAAUACCGGUGGCGAAGGCGGCCCCCUGGACAAAGACUGACGCUCAGGUGCGAAAGCGUGGGGAGCAAACAGGAUUAGAUACCCUGGUAGUCCACGCCGUAAACGAUGUCGAUUUGGAGGUUGUGCCCUUGAGGCGUGGCUUCCGGAGCUAACGCGUUAAAUCGACCGCCUGGGGAGUACGGCCGCAAGGUUAAAACUCAAAUGAAUUGACGGGGGCCCGCACAAGCGGUGGAGCAUGUGGUUUAAUUCGAUGCAACGCGAAGAACCUUACCUGGUCUUGACAUCCACAGAACUUUCCAGAGAUGGAUUGGUGCCUUCGGGAACUGUGAGACAGGUGCUGCAUGGCUGUCGUCAGCUCGUGUUGUGAAAUGUUGGGUUAAGUCCCGCAACGAGCGCAACCCUUAUCCUUUGUUGCCAGCGGUCCGGCCGGGAACUCAAAGGAGACUGCCAGUGAUAAACUGGAGGAAGGUGGGGAUGACGUCAAGUCAUCAUGGCCCUUACGACCAGGGCUACACACGUGCUACAAUGGCAUAUACAAAGAGAAGCGACCUCGCGAGAGCAAGCGGACCUCAUAAAGUAUGUCGUAGUCCGGAUUGGAGUCUGCAACUCGACUCCAUGAAGUCGGAAUCGCUAGUAAUCGUAGAUCAGAAUGCUACGGUGAAUACGUUCCCGGGCCUUGUACACACCGCCCGUCACACCAUGGGAGUGGGUUGCAAAAGAAGUAGGUAGCUUAACCUUCGGGAGGGCGCUUACCACUUUGUGAUUCAUGACUGGGGUGAAGUCGUAACAAGGUAACCGUAGGGGAACCUGCGGUUGGAUCACCU